rnacentral:rRNA from 1 species
GGCUGAAAUUCGCCUUCAUGAAGCUGGAAUUGCUAGUAAUGGCAGGUCAGCAUACUGCCGUGAAUACGUUCCCGGGCCUUGUACACACCGCCCGUCACACCAUGGGAGCCGGUAAUACCCGAAGUCAGUAGUCUAACCGCAAGGGGGGCGCUGCCGAAGGUAGGAUUGGCGACUGGGGUGAAGUCGUAACAAGGUAUC